GGGGCUGUAGCUCAGUGGUAGAGCGCUUGCCUUGCAGGGUGCAAGGCCCUGGGUUCCAUCCUUAGCACCACA
rnacentral:tRNA from 1 species